CUGUAGCGAUUUAUUGUCCGCCCC
rnacentral:siRNA from 1 species